GGCGCCGCUCCGGUUCCGGUGUCGGUUCCGGUUCCGGUCCCGGUGUCGUUCCGGCGGCGCUGCCGGUGCCGGUGCCGCCAUGCCCGAGGCUCUGUCGCUGCUGUGCCGGGUGUCGGCGCACCCCGAGUCCCGCUGCUGGGCCCUGGCCUGGAGCCCCAGCGGGGCCCUGCUGGCGUCCUGCGGCGGGGACCGCACCGUGCGGAUCUGGGGCCGUGAGGGCUCGGGCUGGGCGUGCCGGGCGGUGCUGGCGGAUGGGCACCAGCGCACGGUGCGCAGGGUGGCGUGGUCGCCGUGCGGGCAGUUCCUGGCCUCGGCCAGCUUCGAUGGCACCACGUGCGUCUGGAGGCGCCACGAGCACGGCUUCGAGGUGGUGGCCACGCUGGAGGGGCACGAGAACGAGGUGAAGUCGGUGGCCUGGGCACCCUCGGGGUCACUGCUGGCCACCUGCAGCCGUGACAAGAGCGUCUGGGUCUGGGAGGUGGACGAGGAGGAGCAGGAGUUCGAGUGUGUCAGCGUGCUGAGCGCCCACAGCCAGGACGUCAAACACGUGGUGUGGCACCCCAGCCAGGAGCUGCUGGCCAGUGCCAGCUACGAUGACACGGUGCGUCUGUACCGCGAGGACGAGGACGACUGGGUGUGCUGUGCCACCCUGGAGGGACACACGUCCACCGUGUGGGCAGUGGCCUGGGAGCGCUCCGGCCAGCGCCUCGUGUCCUGCAGCGAUGACCGCACCCUGCGCGUGUGGCAGCGCGCCGAGGGACACGGCGGUGGCUCGGAGCACAGCUGGCAGUGUGUCUGCACCCUGUCCGGGUACCACGGGCGCAGCAUCUACGACGUGGCCUGGUGCCACCUGACGGGCGCGGUGGCCACGGCGUGCGGUGACGACGCAGUGCGGGUGUUCGAGGAGGUGGCCCCGGUGGCCCCGGGCUCGCCGGUGACGUUCAGCCUGGCCGCCCACGUGCCGCGGGCACACGCCCAGGAUGCCAACGGGGUGGCCUGGCACCCGCGGGAGCCGGGGCUGCUGGCCUCCUGCGGGGACGACGGGGACAUCGCCUUCUGGCAGUACCAGCGCCCCGACGGCCUCUGAGCCGCGCCGGGGACACCGAGGGGACCCCCAGGAACCUCCUGCGGCCUCCAGAACCUCCCGUGGCCUCCAGGAUCACCCCAUGUUCUCCAGAACCUCCCGUGGCCUCCAGGAGCACCCAGUGUUCUCCAGAACCUCCCCAGGAUCUCCAGGAGCACCCCGUGUUCUCCAGAACCUCCCCACAACCUCCAGAAGCUUCCUGUGGCCCACAGGACACCUCGGGGACCUCCAGGACACCUCGGGGACCUCUGGGACACUCCCAUGGCCUCCAGGAUCACCCAGUGUUCUCUAGAACCUCCCCAGGAUCUCCAGGAGCACCCAGUGAUCUCCAGAACCUUCCCAGGAUCUCCAGGAUCGCCCCAUGUUCUCCAGAACCUUCCCAGGAUCUCCAGGAGCAGCCCGUGUUCUCCAGAACCUUCCCAUGAUCUCCAGGAGCUUCCUGUGGCCUACAGGACACCUCGGGGACCUCUGGGACCCUCCCAUGGCCUCCAGGAUCACCCACUGUUCUCCAGAACCUCCCCAGGAUCUCCAGGAUCACCCCAUGUUCUCCAGAACCUUCCCAGGAUCUCCAGGAUCACCCCAUGUUCUCCAGAACCUCCCCAGGAUCUCCAGGAUCACCCCAUGUUCUCCAGAACCUCCCCAGGAUCUCCAGGAUCACCCCAUGUUCUCCAGAACCUUCCCAUGAUCUCCAGGAGCACCCAAUGUUCUCCAGAACCUUCCCAUGAUCUCCAGGAGCACCCAAUGUUCUCCAGAACCUUCCCAUGAUCUCCAGGAGCACCCAAUGUUCUCCAGAACCUUCCCGUGGCCUCCAGGAGCACCCCAUGUUCUCCAGAACCUCCCCAGGAUCUCCAGGAUCACCCCAUGUUCUCCAGAACCUCCCCAUGAUCUCCAGGAGCACCCCAUGUUCUCCAGAACCUCCCCACAACCUCCAGAAGCUUCCUGUGGCCCACAGGACACCUUGGGGACCUCCAGGACACCUCGUGGACCUCCGGGACACCUUGGGGACCUCCAGGACACCUUGGGGACCUCUGGGACCACCCAAUGUUCUCCAGAACCUUCCCAAAUGUCCCCCAGAACCUUGUCAAGUUCUCCAGAACCCCCAAAGUUCUCCAGAACCUUCCCCAAAA